rnacentral:rRNA from 1 species
UACAGAGGUCUCGAGCGUUGUUCGGAUUCAUUGGGCGUAAAGGGUGCGUAGGUGGCGCUGUAAGUCGGGUGUGAAAUCCUGAGGCUUAACCUCGGAACUGCAUUCGAUACUGCGGCGCUUGAGGACUGGAGAGGAGACUGGAAUUUACGGUGUAGCGGUGAAAUGCGUAGAUAUCGUAAGGAAGACCAGUGGCGAAGGCGGGUCUCUGGACAGUUCCUGACGCUGAGGCACGAAGGUCAGGGGAGCAAACGGG